rnacentral:tRNA from 1 species
GGAUUAGUAGUCAAUUGGAUAUGACACUAGCACUUUCAAUGCUAAUAAGUGGGUUUGAUUCCUACCUAGUCUA